AUUAUAAAUUAAUAAAAAAAAUAAAAUUGAUUUUUUUUUAAUUCCAAUUUUUACGUAAUUCGAAGAUCGUUGACGCGUCUUUUAACGUUUGUUCGAAAUACGUCACAUGACGAUUCGCAGUUCGAUUGCGUUUCUGGUUCUGGUUGGACGUGCUUUUCUUGCGCUCGUAAUUUAUGUGCUGUUUUUCGCUGUUUGCGGACUUUUCGGUAGAAGAUUAAAGAUUUUUCAGGUAAGUCUUAGUCCAUAUUGACCCUAGACGUAAGAAUUUGUUUAAUAUUACUUAGAGAAUCGCUCCCAGAAGACAUCUCGGCACAUCGUUCGAUGGUCGGCCGUUUUCGUUUUGAAUCUUUUACAUUUAAAAAGGCAGCUGCGAAUGAAGAUGUUUGCGUGGUUUCGCCGGAGGUUCCGACAGAAGAAUGCCGGAGGGAGGGGGUUUCUCGGACGGCUCCGAUGAGACGUUCGAGGACCGUGAGCUCAACUGAGUCUCUGUCGAAUCGAUUAGUUCGGUGUCGUUUGAGGCCGUCGAGCAUGAGGCAGCGGGUGGUGACGACCUUCCUCCAGUGCGUGUGGCGUGGGACUCUCCCAGAGGCGGGAGAGUUCUGAGUCCAUUCCACUUGGCUAAGGUCGUCAGGGAUCAGCCGGCCUAUGUCCUUGUUAAGUAAGGCAUAGGGAGUACCGAGUCCUCUUGGAGUUCGUCUAUUUUCACGAGAUCUGCCUCUCGGUCUGUGCUCGCGAGUACGUCGCCAUCGUCUUUCGGAAGUCGGAACGGGGAAGAUUCGGAGGAGAGCACCGCCGAAAUCGAGGAACUGCGGCUUUGUUGCUGUGGGUGGCUGUGGUUCUCUUGGCCUAGGCAGUGAUCCUUUUCGAUUUUCCCUAAUUCGUCCUUUGCACCCGGAUGCGACAUUCUGACCGGAUUCGACACUUUUCAUCCGGACAUGAUCUCUUUACUCGGACUUGGCCUUCUCUUACCCGGAUGUUCUCAUGGACUUGUCUCCCAAACGUGACACUCGAUGACAACAAUGGAUUUGACUUCCGAUUGUGACCACCCGGACGCGACAUUCGGCCUACCUUUCUUCCCAAGCAGCUGUUAUGAGGAUUGAGCUUCCGGUUACGGUAAGUUAGGCUAGGCUAGGUCAGGUCAGGUCCUUCGCUCUUCUCAUAACACUGUUCGGGAAGAAAGACUGUCUGAUAAAGGUAAUAAUGUUGACCUUAGGUAAUAAAUGAAUGAAAUUCUCAUUUUCUCACUAUCUUUUGUGUUCUAUAGGAACAUUUGGGAGGGAGAAGAAUCUCCCUCCCCAACUUUACCGCGAAGAGGAUGAAAUGGCCAUUUAUCGUGCAAGUGAAUAUUUUCCGAAAUCUUCGAUGCCUACAGACGUAAGCCAGACACAUUCGCCAUGUUGAGAAAUGAGAAAGAUCAGGCCGAAAUCGAAAAAACACCAUGAAGAACUCCUGUUAAAGGAUAAAAGAUUCAACAGGGACCUCGUAUAUGUCAGAUCUAUAAAAAGGUCGCUCAGACAAUGCCUCUGUUUUGUGCUCACAGAGUGAGCACAAAACAGACAUUGAAAAAAAAAAACAAUACCAUCUUAGCGAUAUAUUCCAACGAAAAUAGCAUUAUCCCUAACCUACAACAAGCGACACCGAUUCGACAAGCCCAACAUAUCAACCAACUAUAAAUCUGGAGAGGUUAGAAAUUUUUAAAGUGGACUGCAAAGGCCUGUCAAUCAAUUUUAAAGAAGAAAAACAACUAUCAAGAGCAUGGCAGGCUAUUUAUGACGCAACGCUAUAAUAAUUAGUGCAGGUGCACGUCAUUUGGAGAUUCGAAUUUUGAAAUUUUAAAAAAUAAAUUCCAAAGAUAGAAGCAUUAGAGACCCAAAUGGUUAAAAAUCGGAAUCGCACUAGAAAAACUUGUAAAACACCUGAGGAAGACCCUAGAAGUGGGUCGAAAACGUUUGUGUUACAUUUUUAAGUAGUAAAUGCAAAGCUAUACAAGGUUAGUAUGACAUAUCUGUAAUUAUCACUUUGUUUACUGGAUGGAUUUGAUUUAUUUCCACUCUAGUAAUUUUCUACAAGGUUAUAUGCUGCCAUAAGUUAUCCACUCAAAAUUAUUUUAAGAUAUAUAUAUAUAUUAUUAUUAUUAUUAUUAUUAUUGUGAUGUUAAAAGAAUUAUAAUAAA